rnacentral:misc_RNA from 1 species
ACAUGCCCUAAUAGAAGAAACAGAAACUUCAUCAGGUUCCAAAAAUCCUGCAUUGCCACUGAAACUUCCAGGAACAGUCACUGCUGAAGGCAUCUCAGAAGACUCUGUCAUAGGUUUUUUUUCCAUGUCAACAUCUUGCUGAAGGGAGUCAGCAUGUAUUUCAUUGCUGAGAGCGGUCACGUCAAAAGUAUCUGGUUGAGGCAUAUCAGAU